rnacentral:rRNA from 1 species
UACGGAGGGUGCAAGCGUUAUCCGGAUUCACUGGGUUUAAAGGGUGCGUAGGUGGCAGGUAAGUCAGUGGUGAAAUCUCCGGGCUUAACCCGGAACUGCCAUUGAUACUAUCUGUCUGAAUACCGUGGAGGUGAGCGGAAUAUGUCAUGUAGCGGUGAAAUGCUUGAUAUGACAUAGAACACCAAUUACGAAGGCAGCUCGCUACACAUAUAUUGACUCUAGGCACGAAAGCGUUGGGGAUCAAACAGG